AAUAUUGGACAAUGGGGGCAACCCUGAUCCAGCCAUGCCGCGUGUGUGAGGAAGGNCUNNGGUUUNUNAAGCACUUUAAGUUGNNNNNAAGGGCUUUAGGUUAAUACCCUGAAGUUUUGACGUUACCACCAAAAAAAGCCCCGGCUAACUCUGUGCCAGCAGCCGCGGUAAUACAGAGGGUGCAAGGGUUAAUGGGAAUUACUGGGUGUAAAGCGCGCGUAGGUGGUUCAGUAAGAUGGGUGUGAAAUCCCCGGGCUUAACCUGGGAACUGCUUUCAUAACUGCUGGGCUAGAGUACGGUAGAGGGUGGUGGAAUUUCCUGUGUAGCGGUGAAAUGCGUAGAUAUAGGAAGGAACACCAGUGGCGAAGGCGACUACCUGGACUGAUACUGACACUGAGGUGCGAAAGCGUGGGGAGCAAAC
rnacentral:rRNA from 1 species